rnacentral:rRNA from 1 species
GACGAACGCUGGCGGCGUGCUUAACACAUGCAAGUCGAACGGAAAGGCCCUGCUCUUGUGGGGCGCUCGAGUGGCGAACGGGUGAGUAUAACGUGAGUAUACUGUCCUUGACUUUGGGAUAUCUUCAGGAAACUCGGGCUAAUACCGCAUAUGAUCUCCUGCUGCACGGUGGGGGUUGGUAAGUUUCGGCGGUUGGGGAUGGAUUCGAGGCUUAUCAGCUUGUUGGUGUGGUAGGGGCUUACCAAGGCUUCGACGGGUAGCCGGCCUGAGAGGGUUACCGGCCACAAGGGGACUGCGAUACGGCGCAGACUCCUACGGGAGGCAGCAGUGGAGAAUAUUGCAGAAUGAGCUGAAGCCUGAUGCAGCAACGCCGCGUGCGGGAUGACGUCCUUCGGGUUGUGAACCGCUGUCGCCUGUGACGAGGCGUGAGUGACGGUAAUGGGUAAAGAAGCACCGGCUAACUACGUG